rnacentral:rRNA from 1 species
GUCAGGAGACGCCGGAAGGAGACAUUACAGAGUUGCAAAACUCCCGCAAACCAUCGCGAAUCUUACCCGUACGGUUGCCUCGGCGCUGGCGGUCCGGAAAGGCCCUCGGGCCCUCCCGGAUCCUCGGGUCUCCCGCUCGCGGGAGGCUGCCCGCCGGAGUGCCGAAACUAAACUCUUGAUAUUUUAUGUCUCUCUGAGUAAACUUUUAAAUAAGUCAAAACUUUCAACAACGGAUCUCUUGGUUCUGGCAUCGAUGAAGAACGCAGCGAAAUGCGAUAAGUAAUGUGAAUUGCAGAAUUCAGUGAAUCAUCGAAUCUUUGAACGCACAUUGCGCUCGCCAGUAUUCUGGCGAGCAUGCCUGUUCGAGCGUCAUUUCAACCAUCAAGCUCUGCUUGCGUUGGGGAUCCGCGGCUGUCCGCGGUCCCUCAAAAUCAGUGGCGGGCUCGCUAGUCACACCGAGCGUAGUAACUCUACAUCGCUAUGGUCGUGCGGCGGGUUCUUGCCGUAAAACCCCCCAUUUCUAAGGUUGACCUCGGAUCAGGUAGGAAUACCCGCUGAACUUAAGCAUAUCAUAAGCCGGAGGAA